rnacentral:rRNA from 1 species
AUGCAAGUCGAGCGGGGGAAGGUAGCUUGCUACCGGACCUAGCGGCGGACGGGUGAGUAAUGCUUAGGAAUCUGCCUAUUAGUGGGGGACAACAUCUCGAAAGGGAUGCUAAUACCGCAUACGUCCUACGGGAGAAAGCAGGGGAUCUUCGGACCUUGCGCUAAUAGAUGAGCCUAAGUCGGAUUAGCUAGUUGGUGGGGUAAAGGCCUACCAAGGCGACGAUCUGUAGCGGGUCUGAGAGGAUGAUCCGCCACACUGGGACUGAGACACGGCCCAGACUCCUACGGGAGGCAGCAGUGGGGAAUAUUGGACAAUGGGGGGAACCCUGAUCCAGCCAUGCCGCGUGUGUGAAGAAGGCCUUAUGGUUGUAAAGCACUUUAAGCGAGGAGGAGGCUACUUUAGUUAAUACCUAGAGAUAGUGGACGUUACUCGCAGAAUAAGCACCGGCUAACUCUGUGCCAGCAGCCGCGGUAAUACAGAGGGUGCGAGCGUUAAUCGGA